GAUUGAACGCUGGCGGCAGGCCUAACCCAUGCAAGUCGAGCGGAUGAAGGGAGCUUGCUCCUGGAUUCAGCGGCGGACGGGUGAGUAAUGCCUAGGAAUCUGCCUGGUAGUGGGGGAUAACGUCCGGAAACGGGCGCUAAUACCGCAUACGUCCUGAGGGAGAAAGCGGGGGAUCUUCGGACCUCACGCUAUCAGAUGAGCCUAGGUCGGAUUAGCUAGUUGGUGGGGUAAAGGCCUACCAAGGCGACGAUCCGUAACUGGUCUGAGAGGAUGAUCAGUCACACUGGAACUGAGACACGGUCCAGACUCCUACGGGAGGCAGCAGUGGGGAAUAUUGGACAAUGGGCGAAAGCCUGAUCCAGCCAUGCCGCGUGUGUGAAGAAGGUCUUCGGAUUGUAAAGCACUUUAAGUUGGGAGGAAGGGCAGUAAGUUAAUACCUUGCUGUUUUGACGUUACCGACAGAAUAAGCACCGGCUAACUUCGUG
rnacentral:rRNA from 1 species